UACGUAGGGGGCUAGCGUUGUCCGGAUUUAUUGGGCGUAAAGAGCGUGUAGGCGGCCAUGUAGGUCCGGUGUGAAAACUCGAGGCUUAACCUCGAGAUGUCAUCGGAAACCAUUUGGCUAGAGUCCGGAAGAGGAGAGUGGAAUUCCCAGUGUAGCGGUGAAAUGCGUAGAUAUUGGGAGGAACACCUAUGGCGAAGGCAGCUCGCUGGGACGUUACUGACGCUGAGACGCGAAAGCGUGGGAGCAACAGG
rnacentral:rRNA from 1 species